rnacentral:rRNA from 1 species
UACAGAGGGUGCGAGCGUUAAUCGGAAUUACUGGGCGUAAAGCGUGCGUAGACGGUAGCGUAAGUCUGACGUGAAAUCCCCGGGCUCAACCUGGGAAUUGCGUUGGAGACUGCAAGGCUGGAGUCUGGCAGAGGGGGGGUAGAAUUCCACGUGUAGCAGUGAAAUGCGUAGAGAUGUGGAGGAACACCGAUGGCGAAGGCAGCCCCCCUGGGUCAAGAUUGACGCUCAUGCACGAAAGCGUGGGGAGCAAACAGG